UGUCGACAUUAUAGUUGCGCAGGCACUUUGGUGACUCCAGAGAACCUCGGGCCAAUCGCACGUCCCCGUGACGACGACUUUGCAUUUGGAUGUCUGCCCUAUCAACUUUCAAUGCCACUUUCUGCGCCUACCAUGGUGACCAUGGGUAACGGGGAAUCAAGGUUUGAUUCCGGAGAGGGAGCCUGAGAAACGGCUACUACAUCCAAGGAAGGCAGCAGGCGCGCAAAUGACCCACUCCCGACGCGGGGAGGUAGUGACGACA